CCUACGGGAGGCAGCAGUGGGGAAUAUUGCGCAAUGGGCGAAAGCCUGACGCAGCGACGCCGCGUGAGGGAUGAAGGUCUUCGGAUCGUUAACCUCUGUCAGCAGGGAAGAACGGUCACUGUGCUAAUCAGCAGUGAAUUGACGGUACCUGAAAAGGAAGCACCGGCUAACUCCGUGCCAGCAGCCGCGGUAAUACGGAGGGUGCGAGCGUUAAUCGGAAUUACUGGGCGUAAAGCGCUCGUAGGCGGUAUGUCAAGUCAAGGGUGAAAUCCCCGCGCUCAACGUGGGAACUGCCUUUGAAACUGGCAAACUGGAGUGUGUGAGAGGAUAGUGGAAUUCCAGGUGUAGGAGUGAAAUCCGUAGAUAUCUGGAGGAACAUCAGUGGCGAAGGCGACUAUCUGGCACAUAACUGACGCUGAGGAGCGAAAGCGUGGGUAGCAAACAGGAUUAGAUACCCUGGUAGUC
rnacentral:rRNA from 1 species